GAAAUGCGAUAAGUAAUGUGAAUUGCAGAGUUCAGUGAAUCAUCGAAUCUUUGAACGCACAUUGCGCCCGCCAGUAUUCUGGCGGGCAUGCCUGUCCGAGCGUCAUUUCAACCAUCAAGCCCCCGGGCUUGUGUUGGGGACCUGCGGCUGCCCGCAGGCCCUGAAAACCAGUGGCGGGCUCGCUGUCACACCGAGCGUAGUAGCAAUCACCUCGCUCAGGGCGUGCUGCGGGUUCCGGCCGUUAAACAGCCUUACAAAACCCAAGGUUGACCUCGGAUCAGGUAGGAAGACCCGCUGAACUUAAGC
rnacentral:misc_RNA from 1 species